rnacentral:rRNA from 1 species
UGGGGGGUUACGCAUUGCUGGGUUCGAUUAUGGCUCGUGGGGAUUGAACGCUGGCGGGAUGCUUUACACAUGCAAGUCGAACGGCAGCACGGACUUCGGUCUGGUGGCGAGUGGCGAACGGGUGGUAAUGUAUCGGAACGUGCCUAGUAGCGGGGAUAACUACGCGAAAGCGGUAGCUAAUACCGCAUACGCCCUUCGGGGGAAAGCGGGGACCUUCGGGCCUCGCACUAUUAGAGCGGCCGAUAUCGGAUUAGCUUAGUUGGUGGGGUAACGGCUCACCAAGGCGACGAUCCGUGGCUGGUUUGUGAGGACACCAGCCACACUGGGACUGAGACACGGCCCAGACUCCUACGGGAGGCAGCAGUGGGGAAUUUUGACAAUGGGGAAACCUGAUCCAGCCAUCCCGCGUGUGCGAUGAAGGCCUUCAAGCAAAGCACUUGGCAGGAAAGAAACGGCACGGGAUAAUACCCCGUGCAACUGACGGUACCCGCAGAAUAAGCACCGGCUAACUACGCGCCAGCAGCCGCGGUAAUACGUAGGGUGCGAGCGUUAAUCGGAAUUACUGGGCGUAAAGCGUGCGCAGGCGGUUCGGAAAAAGAAAGAUGUGAAAUCCCAGGAGUUUAACUUUGGAACUGCAUUUUUAACUACCGAGCUAGAGUGUGUCAGAGGGAGGUGGAAUUCCGCGUGUAGCAGUGAAAUGCGUAGAUAUGCGGAGGAACACCGAUGGCGAAGGCAGCCUCCUGGGAUAACACUGACGCUCAUGCACGAAAGCGUGGGGAGCAAACAGGAUUAGAUACCCUGGUAGUCCACGCCCUAAAACGAUGUCAACUAGCUGUUGGGGCCUUCGCCUGGUAGCGCAGCUAACGCGUGAAGUUGACCGCCUGGGGAGUACGGUCGUAAGAUUAAAAAACUCAAAGGAAUUGACGGGGACCCGCACAAGCGGUGGAUGAUGUGGACACCCGAUGCAACGCGAAAAACCUUACCUACCCUUGACAUGUCUGGAAUCCCGGAAGAGAUUUGGGAGUGCUCGCAAGAGAACCGGAACACAGGUGCUGUAUGGCUGUCGUCAGCUCGUGUCGAGAUGUUGGGUUAAGGUCCCGCAACGAGCGCAACCCUUGUCAUUAGUUGCUACGAAAGGCACUCUAAUGAGACUGCCGGUGAUAAACCGGAGGAAGGUGGGGAUGCCGACGUCAAGUCCUCAUGGCCCUUAUGGGUAGGGCUUCACACGCGUCAUACAAUGGUCGGGACAGAGGGUCGCCAACCCGCGAGGGGGAGCCAAUCCCAGAAACCCGAUCGUAGUCCGGAUCGCAGUCUGCAACUCGACUGCGUGAAGUCGGAAUCGCUAGUAAUCGCGGAUCAGCAUGUCGCGGUGAAUACGUUCCCGGGUCUUGUACACACCGCCCGUCACACCAUGGGAGUGGGUUUUACCAGAAGUAGUUAGCCUAACCGUAAGGAGGCGAUUACCACGGUAGGAUUCAUGACUGGGGUGAAGUCGUAACAAGGUAG